rnacentral:misc_RNA from 1 species
GAUGAAGAACGCAGCGAAAUGCGAUAAGUAAUGCGAAUUGCAGAAUUCCGUGAGUCAUCGAAUCUUUGAACGCACAUUGCGCCCUCUGGUAUUCCGGGGGGCAUGCCUGUUCGAGCGUCAUUUCAACCAUCAAGCCCCAGGCUUGCGUUGGAGCCCUGCGGCUGCCGCAGCCUCCUAAAAGCAGUGGCGGGCUCGCUAUCACACCGAGUGCAGUAGAUUACUCUUCGCUCAGGGCGUGCAGCGGGUUCCGGCCGUGAAACCCCCUACUUUUAAAGGUUGACCUCUGAUCAGGUAGGAAUACCCGCUGAACUUAAGCAUAUCAAUAAGCGGAGGA